UAUCUCUCCGUACGGGGAAGGAUGAGAAGCUUCGACUAAGGUUCGAUUCGAGCGCAGCGAGAAAGCGUUGCCGUAGGCAACGACCCGAAGGGCGAAGCGCGCAGCGCUGAGUAAUCCUUCCCCCGUAAUCC
rnacentral:sRNA from 1 species